CAAUGCAGCCAGGCAUCCUGUUAAAGUCAACUGGAAGCGGAGCAUCACCCACUCAUUUCUGUAAUUUCGCUCUCUGUGACCAGAACAGAGCAAGACACACCAAUAAAGCAUGGAGACAUUACAUGAUGACCUCUUCUUGGGCCCGCCUCUUGCCACACAUACACACCCACUGUCUACAGAUGUGCACAUUUGUGGUGAAAGGAUGUUAUCAGUUUAUUACAGGAGGAUCCAGUGAUGUAUGGCAUACCGUAAAUUCUCGCUGCUCGGUUAUUAAAAGUCAUUGAUGCGGGGACACUGAAUCAUGCAGGGGCAAAGGCCUAGGAGCCGGUCAGUAAACCUGCACAAUCAACUCUGCACCACAUCCCCCAUCAGAAUAAAUACAGUGGCAGCCUAUAGAUCAGGAUGAUGGUACCAUAUGUGUAGUGCCACGAGUUCACUCCAGCCAUAUAGGCAUGUAGGCAUGUUUAUUUUUUGUAGGAUUACAGAGAAGGGUGUAGUGAAAAGUCUAUUCUAUGGUUCAUUG